AACGAACGCUGGCGGCAGGCUUAACACAUGCAAGUCGAACGCAUCGCAAGAUGAGUGGCAGACGGGUGAGUAACGCGUGGGAAUCUACCCAGUUCUACGGAACAACAGUUGGAAACGACUGCUAAUACCGUAUACGCCCUACGGGGGAAAGAUUUAUCGGAAUUGGAUGAGCCCGCGUAAGAUUAGCUAGUUGGUGGGGUAAUGGCCUACAAAGGCGACGAUCUUUAGCUGGUCUGAGAGGAUGAGCAGCCACACUGGGACUGAGACACGGCCCAGACUCCUACGGGAGGCAGCAGUGGGGAAUAUUGGACAAUGGGCGCAAGCCUGAUCCAGCCAUGCCGCGGGAGUGAUGAAGGCCUUAGGGUUGUAAAGCUCUUUCACCGAUGAAGAUAAUGACGGUAGUCGGAGAAGAAGCCCCGGCUAACUUCGUGCCAGCCGCCGCCGUAAGAC
rnacentral:rRNA from 1 species